CAGUCGCCACGGGAAUACGUAGGGUGCGAGCGUUAAUCGGAAUUACUGGGCGUAAAGCGCACGUAGGCGGAUAUUUAAGUCAGGGGUGAAAUCCCAGAGCUCAACUCUGGAACUGCCUUUGAUACUGGGUAUCUUGAGUAUGGAAGAGGUGAGUGGAAUUCCGAGUGUAGAGGUGAAAUUCGUAGAUAUUCGGAGGAACACCAGUGGCGAAGGCGGCUCACUGGUCCAUUACUGACGCUGAGGUGCGAAAGCGUGGGGAGCAAACAGGAUUAGAGACCCCUGUAGUCCCUGUCUCUUAUAC
rnacentral:rRNA from 1 species